AACAUCUGCCCCAGGACUAUUGUGUCCCGCUCGCUCCGGCCCGCCGAACGGUUACAGGAGCGCGCGGGGACUGGUACUGCCGCACGCUGAGCCCAGCUCCUUCCGCGGGAACUGGAGAAGGGGGCGUGCCUCGCCGCAGGACAUGCUGAACCCUGCCCCACCUGGCCUGACAUGCCUGACCACCUUGAAACAUCUGGCUCUACUCUGCCCAUCUGGGGUUGGAGGCGCCCCUGCUAGCCCUGCACACCUGAUCACGCCCCAUUCGUCUGGACAGGUCAGGCUCCUUCCCACCUGUCUAUGUGCAGUAGGCCCCACCUCACCUGGCCCACCCCUCCUAGCCUCAAUGAGCUCCUCCUGGACACACUGACGCCCCCACCUGGCCCUGCCCAGCUCUACCCAUGCUCACCCGGGCCCGCAGCUGGCACUGACGCAGCCGGCACUUCUGCCGGAUCUUGUUGGGGCCCCCAAACUUCUUCAUGUCCCGACAGAAGUCACAGUGGCCACAGUCCUCAGUGCGCCGGCAGGCCUCGCACUCGCCACACAUGCGGGCUGACCGUUUGAUCUGCUGCUGCUGUUGUUGCUGCUGCUGCUGCUGCUGCUGCUGGUGAUGCUGGGGGAAGGGGCCCGGAACAGAAAUCAGGAACCCAAGGAGGGCCUGACACGGGAUCACCCUACCUAUCCCAGCCGUGGCAGCCACUCACCUGGCUGGGUGUGGCCACCAAGGGCUGUGGAGAGGAUUUGUGGGGCGAAGCAGAGCCCCGAGCAAGCAUCGCCCCAACCCCUGUCCCUGACCCCGCCCGGCGCUGCAGAUCUGGAUCCGGGGCAGGCCUCUUGCGCCCUCCACCCUCAUCCCGAGGCUCACUGCCGUCUCGCUCAUUGCUGUCCCGCUCCCGUGACUUCUUGUGCCGAUAACGGAUUUCCAGCUUGGGGUCUUUCUCUGCGGGGCAGACAGUGGGACCAGGACAGGUUAACAAUGAGGGAUUUGGAUGGUCCCAGAACUCUUUCUUCCUCUUCUUUUCUGUCCCACUCACCUGCUCUGUCCCCCUACUCCAGGGCAGGCUAACCCCUCUGGUGGGACCCUGUGUUUGGGCUCACAGUGGAGUCUCCAUUCCAACUCACCACAAACCAACAAUCACCCGUCACUACUCCCUAUGACCCACCCUCCCUUUAUGGAUUCUCCCUCAAGGCAGGUGGACCUGCCUGCCCUGUCCAGGCACCCCCCCCUCACCUCGGCAAUCCCGACAGUACCACUCCCGGAUGGCCUUGGCCAUCUUCUCAGUGAUCCGGAUGCAGUCCCCAUGGAACCACUCAUUGCAGUUGUCACACCCGCUGCAGAGGAUGGGGUGAGUGGUGCAGAUGUGAGGGGCCGGACCCAUCAGCCUCACCCAACCUUGCAGGUGUCAGCCCCACCCUCCUCUCCCCGGCUCACAUCAUGAAGCAGUUGAUAUCUGGUUUGCGGCAGAUGCAGUAGAUGGGUGCAUUCUCCCCAUUCUCCGAUUUGCUGUCCUCUCCAGCAUCUGGAGGCUCUGGGUCUGAGCCAUCACCCUCCUGUGGGACCCCCCCCCAUCAUGGCUUCUUAGAGAACCCCUAUCAUGGUGCCUCAUUCCUUGCUACAGCUCCAUCGUGGCUCACCACAAACCCCAACAUUCUGCCAAUAAACUUUCUAUCACAGUU